GAAAAGAAAAGGAGAAAAGAAAAGGAGAAAAGAGAAAAGAGAAAAGAAGAAGAAAAGAGAAAAGGUGUUUCAUCUCCCACGAAACUGACAGCUAAUCUAGGAUCUGUCAAUUAAUUUGUUUAUUGUACAGGACCCCAUGUACAUAACCCAGUGAAGCCUGUAUUUGGCAAGUCAAUUAAUUGAAUGCUUAUCUUGAACCAGUGAAUAGUAGAUUAAUUACUUGACUACUUAAAUGCAUGUGUUCAAACAUCUUUCUGAAACUAAGCCUAAGUCUGGAGUAAUGGGCAAAAGCACUCACAGAGUCUGGGUUAUGCAGAUGUAUGCCAUUCCUUCUGCUGCCUCCACAGGGAAGCUCUUCUCCGCUGGAAUAUGCAAGUUGUCAAUGGAAAAGGGAAGAUUCAAGUCUACAGUGGAUGGGUGUUUUCCUGAAGCCAAACUAUGAUUAUGAAAGCCUCUGACAAAUGACCCAAGAAUAAUCACUAAAGAAAAUCAGGGUUAAAUAGCAAUUACAUUUAUUUGACUUAUAAUAAUUUUCCCAUGUAGAUUUGGUCUUUGUGUUAUUGUAUGUUUAUUUAAUAGAAAACAAACUGCAAAUGAUUACAUUUUUGGCAGAACUGUUUACUUCUGAAAAGAAGGUUUACUUCAAGUCAAAACAUUUUGACAAAUAUUGUGUUAAUGUGUAAUUUCAGUAAGGUAAAUGUAUAUUUUGUUUCAUUUAGUUAAAAUAUUACUUUUAAUAGUAUAUCUUUUUGUUGCAUAUAGGAUUACAUAUUCUGUGAGGCAAAAAUAUAUGUUCUGAAGUACCACGAGUAAGUUCUUUGGUUUUUUGACUUUUUAAUUCUGAGCUCAAAGUGUUCGUUUUCAUACAAAAACAAAACCAAUCAAAUAUGUAACUGCAUGUUUGGUAAAUUUUCUUCAGUCAAACCAAAGAAUAUUCUAUACCCGCAUUAGAAAGAAAUCAAGAAAGUUCUUGCUGGAAAUCCUUCAUAAUUCCCAUGCUACUUCAAGAAUUUUACAGGGAAAUUGAAGGAUAUAUUUGUACAGUAUAUUGCACUAUAAACCUUGAACUUGGUUGACAUCUCAAUAUUGUGAUAUGCAUGUAUAAUAAUAAUGUUUUAUAACAUUUGCUAUGAUAAAACAAUAAGCUUUGCAUUAGCUUUUGCGCAAUAUGCACUGUAUUUCCUACCACUCAGCUUUGAAAUGUAGAGGUUCAUUAGGUCUAUCAGUAAUAUAUGAUACAACAAAAACAUAUUUACUCAGAUCAGUAGGUAUCCAGGGGUAAGGGAUGACAGCAUGGGGUAGCACUUGCUGUUCUAUCUUUAAGCCUAUAUAUUUUUUUUUAUUUUUCUAAGGAAGGCUCUACAGUCCCAGUCAUAAGGCAAAGAAAACUGUCAAAGUAUAUAUGUACAGAAGAAAAAAGUUAAGAAAGAUAAGGCAUUGGAAGUGAAGGCUGCAUAUGAGGUUUAACUCCAAAACCAUGGACGGUAUUUAAUGGUAGGAAGUAUUUUUGUUUUCCAUGUCAGCCAAAUGUGACUAAAGCGUACAUGCAUGUCUGUAGGAUCUGUCUAAUUUGCACAGUAUUGGACUCGAAAUAAGUGAUGAUGACUGAAAAAGAUGUUAUUCUAGCACUUAACUUCUUAUUCCAGUUAGACUCUAAGAGUGCCUCUGUCAGCUUCUAUGAGCCAAGACACCUACAUGAUGAUGUUUCUUUUCUUUGAGAAUGCACUGUGAAAAUCUGGAUGUAAAGCCAUUAAUGCUUUUAAUUAAAUUAAUGCUUUUCAUGCC